rnacentral:antisense_RNA from 1 species
GGCAGGGAGAGGAAAACACGCGCGCGCACACACGGUGAUAUCUUGCGGGUGAUGAAUAUGAUAAUUGGACAAGGGACGAGAGAACCAUUCUCUGCUUUCAAUAGGACAGAAGAGCUCCUUGGCACUGGAUGCCUCCGGGUCUGGUUGAGAGAGGAAUGGUUAGGAGAUUGUUCUGAGGAUAUGCAGACAUCAUCCAAAGCUUCCUACAUUCAGAUGAGGACAGAGGUUGGGCUAGAGCUUUGUAUGCUUGUUACCUAAGUAUGGUUCUGACCAUGUAAGCAGAUCACAGAAGCUAUUCACAGAUCAUCAUCAGCCAGAGGUGACUUCUGUUGCUUGCAGCUCAGAAUCCUAGAUGUUUCUGGUGGCACUGAAGAGCCUCUGCCGAAGCUCUAUACCAUUUGCCAUGUACAAAGGGAAAUGAAAUAAUAACGCCGACCAUUUGUGGAGCACAUUCUGUCUGGAGGCAAAUAAUGCCAAGAUGGGAAAGCCACAUAAUGGAAGGAUCCCAGAUUUCAGAGCUGUCACUUGGAGGAGGGGCACACAGUGAAGGUGUCUAUCUAACCCACACCAUAUCUUCAUGAAGUGGCCAUAUGGAUUUGAUCCCUAUCCUUCAGAGGUGCUCAGCCUAAGGGAACAUGGGUAGAAGAUUAAGCACUGACCAGAGCCAGCCUUGACAAUGUGCUGAUGGCAACCU